GCAAGUCGAACGGUAACAGGAUUAGCUUGCUAAUCGCUGACGAGUGGCGGACGGGUGAGUAAUGCUUGGGAAUUUGCCUUUGCGAGGGGGAUAACAGUUGGAAACGACUGCUAAUACCGCAUAACGUCUACGGACCAAAGGGGGCUUUUGCUCCCACGUGAAGAGAAGCCCAAGUGAGAUUAGCUAGUUGGUGAGGUAAAGGCUCACCAAGGCGACGAUCUCUAGCUGUUCUGAGAGGAAGAUC
rnacentral:rRNA from 1 species